rnacentral:rRNA from 1 species
UACGUAGGGUGCGAGCGUUAAUCGGAAUUACUGGGCGUAAAGCGUGCGCAGGCGGUUUGCUAAGACCGAUGUGAAAUCCCCGGGCUUAACCUGGGAACUGCAUUGGUGACUGGCAGGCUAGAGUAUGGCAGAGGGGGGGUAGAAUUCCACGUGUAGCAGUGAAAUGCGUAGAGAUCGGGAGGAACACCUGUGGCGAAGGCGGCCCCCUGGGCCCGGCCCUGACACUGAGACGCGGAAGGCGUGGGGAGCGAA